UACAGAGGUCCCAAGCGUUGUUCGGAUUCACUGGGCGUAAAGGGUGCGUAGGUGGCUUGGUAAGUUUGAUGUGAAAUCUCCGGGCUUAACCCGGAAAUGGCAUUGAAUACUACUUUAGCUGGAGGUUUGGAGGGGGACUGGGAAUUCUCGGUGUAGCAGUGAAAUGCGUAGAUAUCGAGAGGAACACCAGUGGCGAAGGCGAGUCCCUGGACAACACCUGACACUGAGGCACGAAAGCUAGGGGAGCAAACAGG
rnacentral:rRNA from 1 species